rnacentral:rRNA from 1 species
UACGGGGGGGGCAAGCGUUGUUCGGAAUUACUGGGCGCAAAGGGUUCGUAGGUGGCUUGUUAAGUCAGACGUGAAAGCCCACGGCUCAACCGUGGAGGGUCAUUGGAAACUGGGAGACUUGAGUGCAGAAGAGGAAAGUGGAAUUCCAUGUGUAGCGGUGAAAUGCGUAGAGAUCCGGAGGAACCCCAGAGGCGAAGGCGGCGCUCUGGCUCGCAACUGACGCUCAGACACGACAGCAUGGGGAGCGAACGGG